AGAAUCAACGCUGGCGGCGUGCCUAACACAUGCAAGUCGAACGCGGUUAUCCAGCAAUGGAUAACUGAGUGGCGAACGGGUGAGUAACACGUGGGUGACCUACCUUCGAGUGGGGGAUAACGUCCCGAAAGGGACGCUAAUACCGCAUAACAUCCUGCCUUUGAACAGGCGGAGAUCAAAGCCGGGGAUCGCAAGACCUGGCGUUUGAAGAGGGGCCCGCGUCCGAUUAGCUAGUGGUGAGGUAACGGCCCACAAGGCGACGA
rnacentral:rRNA from 1 species